AAGUGACUCAAAGUGAGGCAGCUCCCGCUGGGCUGAGGCACUGAGACUCUGGAAGCUUGGGCUUUCUUUCUCCACGGUCCACAUUUUAUCUGCUCAGGCUCUGUGAACAGCAGUUUGCAACCUGAGAAGUCACAUCGUGGAAUAACUGAGGCACCAAGCAGCCUCGGGGGACCCAAGGACCUGGGGUGGGCAGCUUCCCACUGGGAACAAAUAACUUCAGAGGAAUCAAGAGGCAUUCGACACCAUAUGUGCAAGACAGCUUUGCUGAGAACAUCUGGGAGAGGCCAAUAUUAGGACUCCACCCUGGCUCACUAUCUGUUACAGACUGUAUCAGGCUCCAGACUUCAGGAAGAGAAAAGCCAGAGGAGCCACAAACACAUCAGAAGCUGCAUUCUGCUAAAAAGUCACUAAUUCGGUUGGCUGAAAAAUGUCAUUUUCAACAGCCAGUCUACAUCAAGUUCAAUCGCCUUCUGAGAUUGGACACCCCAACCUUUUUCUAUCCAGCACAUCCCUGAGAUCAUGCACUUCCUUGGGGCUUCAUAAUUAUUAAAUGUAGCCAUCAAAAAUGUUAAAACCAUUAGAAUUGGCCUGAAUUCUAGUUUCCUUCCCCUGUAUCUCUAACUAAAGCAUUUUGUUUUAAAAUAUUUCCCGAGUCGUGCCAUUGGUAUAAGAUCUGCAACUCUCCUCGACCUCAUCUUAGUUGUUUCUUUGUGAGUGACUGCACUGUACUAACUGUGUGUUACUGGCAGGGCUGAGGGCUGGGUGAAGGGGAAGGAGGUAGGCCUGGCACUGAGGGAAAGUUGUUAAAACCCCAAAUUCAAAGAGUACUUUUGCUUUCUCCUUAGAGGUCUGCUGGGGUUGGUUAUUCAUUUGCUUUGAUAUGUAAAUUGGAAGAUUGCUUUCCCUCUUGGGACCCUGGACAGAGGCCAAAGCAUACAGGAGUAGAUGUCCUUCAGGAUAGAAGCAGAAAUGCUUACAAUAGCAGUCAAAGCCAAGUUUGUGUUUUGGCUUCAAAAUAAAAUACCUUUGUUAAUAGUUUUUAC
rnacentral:lncRNA from 1 species